UACGUAGGGGGCAAGCGUUGUCCGGAAUUAUUGGGCGUAAAGAGCGUGUAGGCGGUCCGGUAAGUCAGCUGUGAAAGUCAAGGGCUCAACCCUUGAAUGCCGGUUGAUACUGUCGGGCUAGAGUCCGGAAGAGGCGAGUGGAAUUCCCGGUGUAGCGGUGAAAUGCGCAGAUAUCGGGAGGAACACCAAUGGCGAAGGCAGCUCGCUGGGACCGGUACGUGACGCUGAGACGCGAAAGCGUGGGGAGCAAACAGG
rnacentral:rRNA from 1 species